CCUACGGGAGGCAGCAGUGAGGAAUAUUGGUCAAUGGACGAGAGUCUGAACCAGCCAAGUAGCGUGAAGGAUGACUGCCCUAUGGGUUGUAAACUUCUUUUAUAUGGGAAUAAACUGUUCCACGUGUGGGAUUUUGUAUGUACCAUAUGAAUAAGGAUCGGCUAACUCCGUGCCAGCAGCCGCGGUAAUACGGAGGGUCCGAGCGUUAUCCGGAUUUGUUUGGGUUAAAGGGAGCGUAGGGGGUUUGUUAAGUCAGUUGUGAAAGUUUGCGGCUCAACCGUACAAUUGCAGUUGAAACUGGCAGGCUUGAGUACAGUAGAGGUGGGCAGAAUUCGUGGUGUAGCGGUGAAAUGCUUAGAUAUCACGAAGAACUCCGAUUGCGAAGGCAGUUCACUGGACUGCAACUGACACUGAGGUUCGAAAGUGUGGGUAUCAAACAGGAUUAGAUACCCCAGUAGUC
rnacentral:rRNA from 1 species